rnacentral:rRNA from 1 species
UGAGGAAUAUUGGUCAAUGGGCGAGAGCCUGAACCAGCCAAGUAGCGUGCAGGAUGACGGCCCUAUGGGUUGUAAACUGCUUUUAUAAGGGAAUAAAGUGAGAGUCGUGACUCUUUUUGCAUGUACCUUAUGAAUAAGGACCGGCUAAUUCCGUGCCAGCAGCCGCGGUAAUACGGAAGGUCCGGGCGUUAUCCGGAUUUAUUGGGUUUAAAGGGAGCGUAGGCCGGAGAUUAAGCGUGUUGUGAAAUGUAGACGCUCAACGUCUGCACUGCAGCGCGAACUGGUUUCCUUGAGUACGCACAAAGUGGGCGGAAUUCGUGGUGUAGCGGUGAAAUGCUUAGAUAUCACGAAGAACUCCGAUUGCGAAGGCAGCUCACUGGAGCGCAACUGACGCUGAAGCUCGAAAGUGCGGGUAUCGAACAGGAUUAGAUACCCUGGUAGUCCGCACGGUAAACGAUGGAUGCCCGCUGUUGGCCUGAAUAGGUCAGCGGCCAAGCGAAAGCAUUAAGCAUCCCACCUGGGGAGUACGCCGGCAACGGUGAAACUCAAAGGAAUUGACGGGGGCCCGCACAAGCGGAGGAACAUGUGGUUUAAUUCGAUGAUACGCGAGGAACCUUACCCGGGCUUGAAUUGCAGAGGAAGGAUUUGGAGACAAUGACGCCCUUCGGGGCCUCUGUGAAGGUGCUGCAUGGUUGUCGUCAGCUCGUGCCGUGAGGUGUCGGCUUAAGUGCCAUAACGAGCGCAACCCCUCUCCUUAGUUGCCAUCAGGUCAUGCUGGGCACUCUGGGGACACUGCCACCGUAAGGUGUGAGGAAGGUGGGGAUGACGUCAAAUCAGCACGGCCCUUACGUCCGGGGCUACACACGUGUUACAAUGGCAGGUACAGAGAGACGGUCCCUUGCAAAAGGGAUCAAAUCCUCAAAGCCUGUCUCAGUUCGGACUGGGGUCUGCAACCCGACCCCACGAAGCUGGAUUCGCUAGUAAUCGCGCAUCAGCCAUGGCGCGGUGAAUACGUUCCC